AUGUCGAAUUGGAUGUUCAAAAUUUAAGUUCUGGAUAUCUUUGUUGAUGUGAAAAACACAGAACAGUGAAGAACAAGACGAGUAGAAAAAAAAGACAUUUCAUAUUUCCUUUGAUGAUGAUGACAU
rnacentral:snoRNA from 1 species